AUUGAACGCUGGCGGCAGGCCUAACACAUGCAAGUCGAGCGAGCGGCGGACGGGUGAGUAAUGUCUGGGAAACUGCCUGAUGGAGGGGGAUAACUACUGGAAACGGUAGCUAAUACCGCAUACCAUCAGAUGUGCCCAGAUGGGAUUAGCUAGUAGGUGGGGUAACGGCUCACCUAGGCGACGAUCCCUAGCUGGUCUGAGAGGAUGACCAGCCAAACUUGAAAUGAGACACGGUCCAGGAUCCCACGGGAGGGAAGAGGGGGGGAUUUUGCAAAAUGGGCGCAAGCCUGAUGCAGCCAUGCCGCGUGUGUGAAGAAGGCCUUCGGGUUGUAAAGCACUUUCAGCGGGGAGGCGUUACCCGCAGAAGAAGCACCGGCUAACUCCGUGCCAGCCGCCGGGUAAUUC
rnacentral:rRNA from 1 species